rnacentral:lncRNA from 1 species
CUUUAUCGUGCUAACUGCUGUCAGGUCUGGUAAUUGUUAUAUUUGCAGUUGCUGCCCAGGCUCUCCACAUCAGGGAUGGCUAUUGAGGUGAUAAGCCCAGACUAACUUAUUGGGAGAAGUGAGAGAGAUCAGUUAAGAGAGAAGUGGCUGGGAGGCUGGGUUUCCUUCCAAGAAGACAGUAUAAGAAUGUCCAGAUGUGGAACUCACAUAUGCUGCAACCCUGGAGACAGGCAGGGACACCCUAAGGAAGUAGUUUUCUGCACAAAAUUUGACAUCAGACAUAUUGUAUUUGAAUUAGUUACAAACUUAGUGUAUAUAAACUCUCCUCCAAAACAGCAGUCUUUAUUAGAUAACAAGUUUUAGGAAAAGCCAGUCCAGCCCCAAUCAUAUCAGGAAAAUGUGAUGCAAUAUUAACCACAACACAAUGUUGAAUAUUCCAAAUUAAGAGAAUGCCAAGGACUGUAUUAUGUUGCUAGAAACAAACAAAUAUAUCCCCCAGAGUGUUUUGAGGAAGCCACAAGAUAUAACCGUUCUAAAAUUAUACCCAGGUUUUAAUUUAUAGAAGUAUGACUGAGUGACAACAUGAAGAGGCGAAUUCCAUUAAGAGAAGAACUUAUUGCUUACAUUUCACAAACGAAGGGUACAUGUCAGACCUCACAGGGACACAAGAUGGUCCAGAGACAGAAGAUAAGAGUAAAAGGGAAGCCUUAGUCGGAGUCUGUAUUGGGAUUCCUGUGGAAAAGGCAGGACAGGACAAGGUGCAUGGGUUAGGAUUGGUUAGAUUCAGUAAUUCUGGUGGGCUUCGGGGGAUAGAGGCUGUCCCUAGUUGUCUGAUACCUAGGCUUGGGAUGAUUUAGAGCAGAAGAAUAUUGGCUUGGUGUGUGAGGGUGAGAUAAAGAGAGUGGUUGGCUUGCAUAUGAAAGGCAUGCUUUUACACAAGUUGCUGUAUUUAACAAUUAGCUAACCCUGGAAGGGGCAGUCUCUCCCUGCGUCUAUAGUGGGUCUGAUGUUCCCAAAUGCCAGAUCAUAAAGAAUACAGAAAAUAAGAACACAUAGUUAAUAUAAUUUGCCUUGUGAUGAAUGGACACCAAAUAGAGAAGCUGAGAAAACAAAAACAGAACAAGAACACCCCUCUAACAGAUGCUCCUUUAAUGAUAACCCUUUUCUGUUUCCCACAGGCAACCGUAGCUCUAAGGCACAGUUAUCCAGAGAUCUCACUGGCAGAGGCUGAUGAAGAGAUGAAUUAGGGACAAGAGAACGCACAGCACAACGGACUUCCGGAAUUUCAUCAGAGUUCUCUCCCCAGAUGACAUGACUGGAACAUCAACUCUUGGGAUGCUGUUGGGAAAUAAUCAGCAUUUAUGAAGUUGGCAAUACAUGCCACAUUGGAUGCACCCUCAUGCCCCAAAUCUUUUAGCUUUGUUAUGGAAGCAAAAGAAGUCGACAUGAUCUCCAUUCCCAACUGCCGGCUCCUUAAAGGAUGAAGACUUCCCUCGGAUCACCAGAGCUCCCCACCUCACUAAGUUUAUGCUAA